GUAAGGAAUAUUGCGCAAUGGAGGCAACUCUGACGCAGCCAUGCCGCGUGCAGGAAGAAGGCGCUACGCGUUGUAAACUGCUUUUAACCGGGAAGAAACCCCAGGACGUGUCCUGGGUUGACGGUACCGGAGGAAUAAGCACCGGCUAACUUCGUGCCAGCAGCCGCGGUAAUACGAAGGGUGCAAGCGUUAUCCGGAUUCAUUGGGUUUAAAGGGUGCGUAGGCGGAGCGUUAAGUCAGUGGUGAAAUCCUGCAGCUUAACUGUAGACUUGCCAUUGAUACUGGCGCUCUUGAGUGCGCUUGAAGUGGGCGGAAUGUGCCGUGUAGCAGUGAAAUGCUUAGAUAUGGCACAGAACACCAAUUGCGAAGGCAGCUCACUAAGGCGAUACUGACGCUGAGGCACGAAAGCGUGGGGAUCGAACAGGAUUAGAAACCCCUGUAGUCC
rnacentral:rRNA from 1 species